AGGUCCCAAUUUCAUAAGCGGCUCGUUCUAUUAAGUCAGCGAAAAUUCUCCGCUACAAGACUAGGUGAGCUGGUGCUGCUGCAUGACAUCAAGCAUAAGGGGGCUAGACUGUAGUUUGAAGUUAACUUUUGGUUUGAUUAUUACUGAAUUUUAUAGAACAUUGUUACAUGGUUUGAGUGUGAAUAAAGAGGGGUCAACUAUGAUUCCCGAGUUGUAUUUACAUUUUCUAUUCCGCUGCAAUUUGGUUUUGAGACAAUGAAUUUGAGUUACCGUA